CCUANGGGGGGCAGCAGUGGGGAAUAUUGCGCAAUGGACGAAAGUCUGACGCAGCGACGCCGCGUGAGGGAUGAAGCUUUUCGGAGUGUAAACCUCUGUUGCCCGGGACGAACAUCCUCUUUCGAGAGGACUGACGGUACCGGGUGAGGAAGCACCGGCUAACUCUGUGCCAGCAGCCGCGGUAAUACAGAGGGUGCGAGCGUUGUCCGGAAUCACUGGGCGUAAAGGGCGCGUAGGUGGCUUGGUAAGCGUGUGGUGAAAGCUCGGGGCUCAACCCCGAGUCUGCCAUGCGAACUGCCGAGCUUGAGUAUGGUAGAGGCAGGUGGAAUUCCGGGUGUAGCGGUGGAAUGCGUAGAUAUCCGGAAGAACACCGGUGGCGAAGGCGGCCUGCUGGGCCAUUACUGACACUGAGGCGCGACAGCGUGGGGAGCAAACAGGAUUAGAUACCCGGNUANUC
rnacentral:rRNA from 1 species